rnacentral:lncRNA from 1 species
UACAUGAAUCUAUGGAGAUUGAAAAACGGAGGUCUUCCGUUAACCUUAUUAAUGAUAAUGAACCAUCGGCUCUCCCGGUGUCGUGGAAGUGGUGUGCGCAGCGUAAUAUCUAGGUCCUUGUGCACUCCCGGAGGCUUAUAUCCCUCCAUGCCUUCUGUACCUCUGGGCACUGAACCCCCACCCCCUACUGUAGCUUACUAUAGUGGUAUAGAUGAUAUAGUGGUAUAAUGAUCAAAAUAAUGAUCUAAGAAAAAUCAUAAUUAAUCUUAAUAAUGAAUAUGAUAAUCUCAGAUUGCAGUAGAGACCUCAC